GACAGAGGUGCCGAGCGUUAGGCGGAAUCACUGGGCUUAAAGCGUGUGUAGGCGGAGGCCUAAGUACCUUGUGAAAUCCCACGGCUCAACCGUGGAACUGCUUGGUAUACUGGGUCUCUUGAGCCACCUAGGGGCAAGUGGAACAAACGGUGGAGCGGUGAAAUGCGUAGAUAUCUGGAGGAACACCGGUGGCGAAGGCGGCAUUCUGGACCAUAACUGACACUGAGAGACGAAAGCCAGGGGAGCAAACGGG
rnacentral:rRNA from 1 species